AGCAGCCGCGGUAAUUCCAGCUCCAAUAGCGUAUAUUAAAGUUGUUGCAGUUAAAAAGCUCGUAGUUGAAUUUCGGGAUCAAUAUAUCGGUCGUGCCUUCGGUACGUACUGGUAUCGUUGAUUUCUACCUUCUGACGAACCAUGAUGUCAUUAAUUUGAUGUCAUGGGAAAUCAGGACUGUUACUUUGAAAAAAUUAGAGUGUUUAAAGCAGGCACACGCUUGAAUACAUUAGCAUGGAAUAAUGAAAUAGGACGUUUGAUCUUAUUUUGUUGGUUUCUAGGAUCGACGUAAUGAUUAAUAGGGAUAGUUGGGGGCAUUAGUAUUCAAUUGUCGGAGGUGAAAUUCUUGGAUUUAUUGAAGACUAACUACUGCGAAAGUAUUUGCCAAGGAUGUUUUCAUUAAUCAAGAACGAAAGUUAGGGAUCGAAGACGAUCAGAUACCGUCGUAGUCUUAGCCAUAAACUAUGCCGACUAGGGAUCGGAUGAUGUUAAUUUUUAANGUACU
rnacentral:rRNA from 1 species